rnacentral:rRNA from 1 species
AUUGAACGCUGGCGGCAUGCCUUACACAUGCAAGUCGAACGGCAGCACGGGAGCAAUCCUGGUGGCGAGUGGCGAACGGGUGAGUAAUAUAUCGGAACGUGCCCAGUCGUGGGGGAUAACGUAGCGAAAGCUACGCUAAUACCGCAUACGAUCUAUGGAUGAAAGCGGGGGAUCGCAAGACCUCGCGCGAUUGGAGCGGCCGAUAUCAGAUUAGGUAGUUGGUGGGGUAAAAGCUCACCAAGCCGACGAUCUGUAGCUGGUCUGAGAGGACGACCAGCCACACUGGGACUGAGACACGGCCCAGACUCCUACGGGAGGCAGCAGUGGGGAAUUUUGGACAAUGGGCGCAAGCCUGAUCCAGCAAUGCCGCGUGCAGGAUGAAGGCCUUCGGGUUGUAAACUGCUUUUGUACGGAGCGAAAAGGCUUCCACUAAUACUGGGGGCUCAUGACGGUACCGUAAGAAUAAGCACCGGCUAACUACGUGCCAGCCGCCGCGGUAAAAC